AUAUACGACCAUACCUCAAUGAACACACCGGCUCUCGUCCGAUCACCGAAGUUAAGCAUUGUCGGGAUGGGGGACCGCUUGGGAACACCGCGUGUUGAUGGC
rnacentral:rRNA from 1 species